GUUUAAAUCGGAAAAAUGAAAAAUGAUAGACUGAGUGAUUUUCAUAUAACAAACAAAAUGAAAGAGAUCCAUAAGUCAUAUGCUCGCAAAUUUCUGGAAUUUAUUUUGUAAUAAAAGCAGUCGGUUGGCGAAAUUCAAAUUAAUGAAGCAAAUCGGUGAUUCAUGUCCCCUACAGCGCCUCUUGCUGAACGCAUCACAUCAAGCUCAAAUUUAUCCUUCAUGACAUUUCGUUAUGCGCCAAGUACCAUCUGUGUUUGAGCGAGAGUUUUACGAAAAUAUUUCUGUGCAGUCAGCAAAUCCUCUUAACUCCCUAAGAAAUAACGUCCGACUGGGAUACAACGCCAAAUAUACCAGAGUAGAUAUGUAUGUAUAUGUCUACAUACCAAAUAUACGCACGUACACCACUCGUAUCCAGGCAUCUUUCAUAUUCAUAUCGCUAUCCCACCAUCCAUGCCAGUCCAUGCUUAGCUGUCUUCGAGACGUUGGACACUUGGGUGUGAUUUUUCUUGUUUUAUUUGCCUACACGCGCGCUCCCCAAAGAUCUGCACCGCGAUCGCUGCGAUCACUGCCAUCUUUGAGGGGAUCUUGUGUGUAGCAAGCCGUAAGUCGAAAGGAUGGAAAUAAACAAAGUCGAAGAAGGCGACAACAGGGAUAGGCACACAUCAGCACAUAAAUACAUACGUACACAUGUAUGUGCACAUAUAUACGAACAUAAAGGGAUGUAGCGAUUGUUGAUGGAAUUGACUUUUUUGUAAAUGAAGCAAACAAACAUUAUGCCACAAAAAGAAAGAACAAGUCGAAGCAAACAACAAAAAGCGAAAGGAUUGUGCAAUACAAAAGCAAUAAUGAAGGCACAACCGUGACAACACCAACACCAACACCAACACAAGCGCCCAAACAGGAAUAUGCAACAAUCAAAGCAGCAGCGAACAGUCCAAGUCAGUUAGCGAGGGCGACGCACGGGGCUGUCGUAAAGCAUAUACAGACAUACAAUACAUAUCCACAUAUUUGUACAUUUUGUAUCCCUUUUUCGUGGGAGCCAAGGAAGACCGCGUGUGUUGCAAACCCAAGCCUGCCAACAGACAGGUAGAAAUACAACAAUAACAACACCAAGUCAACAACAAUAAUAGUCGCGGCUUUGUCAUCACGAUCAUGCUCGGCGCAAGGAGGAUGGCUGGAAGGUUGCUGGCUGAGCUGGGCUGUGAUAGCACAAACUGGUUUCUCAACACUCCACAACCCAAUCAUCAAAAUAUUUGAAAAAUGGGAAACCAGUUUGAUCCUCUGCGCUGCAAUCAUCGCCCAAUAAAGACGGUCACGUCGGAGCGUCGAAGGAGUGAAGCGCUCGUUGCACGUGGCUGGAGCGUACCGACGACCACGAAGACGAUGAGUUGGCGUAAAGCAUUAAUGUCCUUCUACCAUAAAAUCUUCAAUUAUACACAUACUUUAUAUCACACACACACACACACAUGCACGCUUAAUGGUGAAUCGGUUUGAAGCGUUCGAUUGGCAGCGUGUGAUCCCCAAAUGUUUUGUGGAGGAUACGUUGCGUCGACCGGUAGUGAGUAGCGUGUAAUGGUCGGGGGUUUGAUUUUUUCCUGCUUUGCGGGCUUUAUUGAAAUUACUUGUGUCUGAGAUCCUUCGAACGUUUGAGCGUUGUGGCUUUUUGUACGCGUCGGUCGACUGUACUUGUUGCGUCUAUGGUUCGACGGUUGGUCGGUUGUGUUUGCCAAAGGAGUAGAGUUAUUGUUUGCUAUAUGAGGAUGUGAUUGGCGUUGUUCUACCUAUGUUGUAUAAAGAUCGUGAUUAUAUAUACAUAUGUGCGUUCCUAUGUAUAUAUGUAUGUACCUUUUAGAAUGUUGUAUUUGAAAUUUGUAUUCAAUGACUUGCGGAAGGCUAUGAUGGAGCUGAUCAUGACUGUGAUUGACAAGUCUAUGUAUCUCAAAUUUAGGUAGGUUUGAAUACUUUUGGCCCAUGUUUUUAAAUGUCGUUGUAUCAAUGUUCAUAAGUUCUAGGCGUAUUGAUUGGUCGAGAAAAUAGUUAGAGUCAAUAUAACAAGUUGGUUGAUAUGGGUCAUAUGGGUAGCUUUUAUAUAUAAAUGGAUAGAUAGUGAACUCAAAAAGUUUCAAGGAGGAGGAGUUUCAAAGGAGUCACUUGGUUAAUUUCGAGCUUAUCAUGUGGUACGACAUCGAUUUUGGGCUUAACCCAAUUAAUUCAUUCGAAACCCAUUAUUUUCCAUGUCGUAUACUGAAA
rnacentral:lncRNA from 1 species